rnacentral:siRNA from 1 species
UUGACCAAGGAUUGUAGACAUGCA